GACAGUGGAUAACCUGAAGAACGACCUACUAGUGAUCAAUUUGCUCGCAAGAGGGUUCUGAAUCGGUUUUCUAAAAACCAGAAAUACGAAGCUAUUUGCUUAGAGAUGGAUUAAAUGACGUAUUUUCUAAAACAUUCCCGUUUCAAACUGAUUCUAUUUAAUGUGAUGUUAAUAUAUGUGAUGUAUAAUGAGUGAAACAUUGUGGAUGUAAAUGCAUUUUAUUAGCCUUAUUAGAAUGCAUCGCAGACCUUCAAUGACACGAGUUCCUGGAUAAAAGAAAUUUUAUGAGAAUACUUCUCGGUAAUAAUGUAACCUUUGAUACGAUCCAUAGUUAACUCGAAACGCAUCCUCGUAUUGUUUGUCUAUUAUGGUAUAUAUAUUGUACGGUUUUUUUCACAGAUUUUUGUUAGGUCAUCAUCAGAUGUAUAUUACAUGAAUGAGUUUCAUGAAUAAUGAUUUAUUGUUCAUCUUUUAUGGUAUAUAAUGAUACUCAUGUUUUCAGCUAGAGAAUUUAAUUUAUUCGUGUAUGGAUUAAAGAAUUAAUGGAACCUCUCAAAAGAAUGACGUACAAAUAUCACGUACACAUUUCUAGGAAAGCACGUAUCUUUAUAACAAAGACGACGAAUUGCGCAUCUGUUUUCCAUAGAAAAAUUUUUAAAUUAAAGCUUACGUAAAAUAUUAUAUAAAACACAAAAAUGUUACGAAGUGCUUGUUUAAACUGGAAUUUGUGAAAAAUAAAUAUUUUUUUCGAAUUAC